AAGAUACAGCAAGAAGGUGGCCAUCUACAAACCAGGAAAAGAGACCUCGCCAGGAACCAAAUUGGCCAGCACCUUGAGCUUGACGGUCCCAGUCUUCAGAACUGUGAGAAAUAAGCUACCCAGUCUAUGGUCUCGCCGGAGACUGAUGGCACACCUGAAUCGGUUGAGUAUUGAAGGCUCAUCCUGGCUCUUCCUGCUUCUCCAAGACCUGAACUGUCACCCAGAACCUGGAUGUUUGACAAACUGGAUAGGCUACUGCUGCCUACAGUCAGGUGUUUGCAUGAGUUUGCAUGCCUAUCAAUACAAGCAGGCUUUAAUCUUUUUGUUUUUAUUUGAUGUGAUUUGUUGGUAAAAGCAGAUGGUAGGAUUUGGAGUUUGGAGAUGGAAAAGAGCAGGUGGAUGGAGGGGUUGCCAUGGUGACUGUCUGCUUGCCUAGCGUUAGAAGUCAGUUUUCAGCUUGCAUGGAAGAAUGGCUAAUGGCCAGAAGUUGAAGGAGCUAUGUACAAAAAAGACGAUUUGAGAAAUUGGGCAUAAGCAGUCCCACAUGACCAAAAGUGAUGGUCAGGAAAAAGGACAGUCACACUCACAGUUGACCACAAACCACAACACACCAGCAGAAAUGGCUAUGCCCAGUGGGAAUCAUUUUCAUUGAGGAUUGUAUCAGUCAGCUAUUGCUGUGUAACAAAUCACCUGAACACUCCAAAACUCAGUGGCUUAAAAUAACAAUCAUUUAUUAUCAUUCAUAUGUCUACAAGUCAGCUAGAGUUUGGCUGAUAUCGGUUGGGCUCUACUGAGGCACAUCUGCGUCACAUAUCUCUCAUCUUCUUCCUUGGACUACCUGUCCAGCCAAGGCAUGUUCGUCUCAUGAUGCAGUGAAAGAUGAGGGAAGAAGACCAAGUUGGUAACCUCUUAACUUCUGACACUACUUUCUAUUAGAGACACUCUGAUGUUUCCAUGGCCCUUUUCCAAUGGUCCAAGGAAGCCAUGGAGAUGGGCUUGGCGGCAAAGAGUAUAAAGUGGACUCUGAGCCAUAAAGUGGACUCUGAGCCAAUUCGACUUAACACUGCCACAAACUUUCUCAUUCUGCCAGUGUGGUAUGAUGUGAACUACAUGGAAUUUUGAAAUCACAGAGACCCAAAUUCCAAUUCUGUCUCUUACCCUCAUUAACUAGAGAACAUGGGUGACCUAUUUUAACCUCAUAGAGUGGAGUUUCGAUUUCCAGAUCUAUAAAAUGGGGAUUAUGAUACACACCUCUUGCGGUGGUUUUAACUUGGGUUGAUUUGAUCAGAUAAUGUAUGUACAAAUUUUUGCAAACAAUAAAGACU
rnacentral:lncRNA from 10 species